AUUGAACGCUGGCGGCAUGCCUUACACAUGCAAGUCGAACGGCAGCACGGGAGCAAUCCUGGUGGCGAGUGGCGAACGGGUGAGUAAAGUAUCGGAACGUGCCCAGUCGUGGGGGAUAACGUAGCGAAAGUUACGCUAAUACCGCAUACGAUCUAUGGAUGAAAGCGGGGGAUCGCAAGACCUCGCGCGAUUGGAGCGGCCGAUAUCAGAUUAGGUAGUUGGUGGGGUAAAGGCUCACCAAGCCGACGAUCUGUAGCUGGUCUGAGAGGACGACCAGCCACAGUGGGAGUGAGACACGGCGCAGACUCCUACGGGAGGCAGCAGUGGGGAAUUUUGGACAAUGGGCGAAAGCCUGAUCCAGCCAUGCCGCGUGCAGGAUGAAGGCCUUCGGGUUGUAAACUGCUUUUGUACGGAACGAAAAGGUUUGGCCUAAUAAGCUGAGCUCAUGACGGUACCGUAAGAAUAAGCACCGGCUAACUACGUGCCAGCAGCCGCCGUAA
rnacentral:rRNA from 1 species